rnacentral:rRNA from 1 species
ACGCUAGCUACAGGCUUAACACAUGCAAGUCGAGGGGCAGCAUGGUCUUAGCUUGCUAAGGCCGAUGGCGACCGGCGCACGGGUGAGUAACACGUAUCCAACCUGCCGUCUACUCUUGGACAGCCUUCUGAAAGGAAGAUUAAUACAAGAUGGCAUCAUGAGUCUGCAUGUUCACAUGAUUAAAGGUAUUCCGGUAGACGAUGGGGAUGCGUUCCAUUAGAUAGUAGGCGGGGUAACGGCCCACCUAGUCUUCGAUGGAUAGGGGUUCUGAGAGGAAGGUCCCCCACAUUGGAACUGAGACACGGUCCAAACUCCUACGGGAGGCAGCAGUGAGGAAUAUUGGUCAAUGGGCGAGAGCCUGAACCAGCCAAGUAGCGUGAAGGAUGACUGCCCUAUGGGUUGUAAACUUCUUUUAUAAAGGAAUAAAGUCGGGUAUGGAUACCCGUUUGCAUGUACUUUAUGAAUAAGGAUCGGCUAACUCCGUGCCAGCAGCCGCGGUAAUACGGAGGAUCCGAGCGUUAUCCGGAUUUAUUGGGUUUAAAGGGAGCGUAGAUGGAUGUUUAAGUCAGUUGUGAAAGUUUGCGGCUCAACCGUAAAAUUGCAGUUGAUACUGGAUAUCUUGAGUGCAGUUGAGGCAGGCGGAAUUCGUGGUGUAGCGGUGAAAUGCUUAGAUAUCACGAAGAACUCCGAUUGCGAAGGCAGCCUGCUAAGCUGCAACUGACAUUGAGGCUCGAAAGUGUGGGUAUCAAACAGGAUUAGAUACCCUGGUAGUCCACACGGUAAACGAUGAAUACUCGCUGUUUGCGAUAUACGGCAAGCGGCCAAGCGAAAGCGUUAAGUAUUCCACCUGGGGAGUACGCCGGCAACGGUGAAACUCAAAGGAAUUGACGGGGGCCCGCACAAGCGGAGGAACAUGUGGUUUAAUUCGAUGAUACGCGAGGAACCUUACCCGGGCUUAAAUUGCAGAUGAAUUACGGUGAAAGCCGUAAGCCGCAAGGCAUCUGUGAAGGUGCUGCAUGGUUGUCGUCAGCUCGUGCCGUGAGGUGUCGGCUUAAGUGCCAUAACGAGCGCAACCCUUGUUGUCAGUUACUAACAGGUUCCGCUGAGGACUCUGACAAGACUGCCAUCGUAAGAUGUGAGGAAGGUGGGGAUGACGUCAAAUCAGCACGGCCCUUACGUCCGGGGCUACACACGUGUUACAAUGGGGGGUACAGAGGGCCGCUACCACGCGAGUGGAUGCCAAUCCCCAAAACCUCUCUCAGUUCGGACUGGAGUCUGCAACCCGACUCCACGAAGCUGGAUUCGCUAGUAAUCGCGCAUCAGCCACGGCGCGGUGAAUACGUUCCCGGGCCUUGUACACACCGCCCGUCAAGCCAUGGGAGCCGGGGGUACCUGAAGUGCGUAACCGCGAGGAGCGCCCUAGGGUAAAACUGGUGACA